rnacentral:rRNA from 1 species
CCCUUAGAUGUCCUGGGCCGCACGCGCGCUACACUGAUGCAUGCAACGAGUUUAUAACCUUGGCCUGAAAGGUCUGGGUAAUCUUUUGAACGUGCAUCGUGAUAGGGAUAGAUUAUUGCAAUUGUUAAUCUUGAACGAGGAAUUCCUAGUAAACGCGAGUCAUCAGCUCGCAUUGAUUACGUCCCUGCCCUUUGUACACACCGCCCGUCGCACCUACCGAUUGAAUGGUUCGGUGAAGAUCUCGGACUUCGAUAUUUAUUCUUUAUUGAGUUUAUAUUGUGGGAAGUUAUCUAAACCUCAUCAUUUAGAGGAAGGUGUAGUCGUAACA